rnacentral:rRNA from 1 species
UACAGAGGUCUCAACCGUUGUUCGGAUUCAUUGGGCGUAAAGGGUGCGUAGGCGGUCGCGCAAGUCGGAUGUGAAAUCCCGGAGCUUAACUUCGGAACUGCAUUCGAUACUGCCGGACUGGAGUACUGGAGAGGAGAUCGGAAUUUACGGUGUAGCAGUGAAAUGCGUAGAUAUCGUAAGGAAGACCAGUGGCGAAGGCGGAUCUCUGGACAGUUACUGACACUGAGGCACGACGAGCCAGGG